rnacentral:tRNA from 1 species
UGGCUCAGGCGGUUGAGCGCCUGACUUUGGCUCAGGUCAUGAUCUCAGUUUGUGGGUUCGAGCCCCAC